UAACGCGUGAGGAACCUGCCUUGAAGAGGGGGACAACAGUUGGAAACGACUGCUAAUACCGCAUGACGCAUAGGGGUCGCAUGAUCUUUAUGCCAAAGAUUUAUCGCUUCAAGAUGGCCUCGCGUCUGAUUAGCUGGUUGGCGGGGUAACGGCCCACCAAGGCGACGAUCAGUAGCCGGACUGAGAGGUUGAACGGCCACAUUGGGACUGAGAUACGGCCCAGACUCCUACGGGAGGCAGCAGUGGGGAAUAUUGGGCAAUGGGCGCAAGCCUGACCCAGCAACGCCGCGUGAAGGAAGAAGGCUUUCGGGUUGUAAACUUCUUUUAAGAGGGAAGAGCAGAAGACGGUACCUCUAGAAUAAGCCACGGCUAACUACGUGCCAGCAGCCGCGGUAAUACGUAGGUGGCAAGCGUUGUCCGGAUUUACUGGGUGUAAAGGGCGUGCAGCCGGGUCUGCAAGUCAGAUGUGAAAUCCAUGGGCUCAACCCAUGAACUGCAUUUGAAACUGUAGAUCUUGAGUGUCGGAGGGGCAAUCGGAAUUCCUAGUG
rnacentral:rRNA from 1 species